GAGCGGAACGAUCCUAGCUUGCUAGGAGGCGUCGAGCGGCGGACGGGUGAGUAAUGCAUAGGAAUCUACCCAGUCGUGGGGGAUAACCUGAGGAAACUCAGGCUAAUACCGCAUACGUCCUACGGGAGAAAGCGGGGGCUCUUCGGACCUCGCGCGAUUGGAUGAGCCUAUGUCGGAUUAGCUAGUUGGUAAGGUAACGGCUUACCAAGGCGACGAUCCGUAGCUGGUCUGAGAGGAUGAUCAGCCACACCGGGACUGAGACACGGCCCGGACUCCUACGGGAGGCAGCAGUGGGGAAUAUUGGACAAUGGGCGAAAGCCUGAUCCAGCCAUGCCGCGUGUGUGAAGAAGGCUUUCGGGUUGUAAAGCACUUUCAGCGAGGAAGAAAGCGUGCCAUUUAAUACAUGGUACGGACGACAUCACUCGCAGAAGAAGCACCGGCUAACUCCGUGCCAGCAGCCGCGGUAAUACGGAGGGUGCAAGCGUUAAUCGGAAUUACUGGGCGUAAAGCGCGCGUAGGCGGCGUGUCACGCCGGGUGUGAAAGCCCCGGGCUCAACCUGGGAACGGCAUCCGGAACGGGCAGGCUAGAGUGCAGGAGAGGAAGGUAGAAUUCCCGGUGUAGCGGUGAAAUGCGUAGAGAUCGGGAGGAAUACCAGUGGCGAAGGCGGCCUUCUGGACUGACACUGACGCUGAGGUGCGAAAGCGUGGGUAGCAAACAGGAUUAGAUACCCUGGUAGUCCACGCCGUAAACGAUGUCGACUAGCCGUUGGGUCCCUUGAGGACUUAGUGGCGCAGUUAAC
rnacentral:rRNA from 1 species